GAUGAAGAACGUAGUGAAAUGCGAUAAGUAAUGUGAAUCGCAGAAUUCAGUGAAUCAUCGAAUCUUUGAACGCACCUUGCGCUCUUUGGUAUUCCGAAGAGCAUGCCUGUUUGAGUGUCAUGAAAAUAUCAACCUUGACUUGGGUUUUGUGCUCUAGUCUCGGCUUGGAAUUGGGUGCUUGCCGCUUUUACGAGCGGCUCACCUUAAAUGUAUUAGCUGGAUCUGUCUUUGAGACUUGGUUUGACUUGGCGUAAUAAGUAUUUCGCUAAGGACAUUCUUCGGAGUGGCCUCGUUUCUAGGACGCUUGUCCGCUUUCCAAUACAAGUUCCACCUCGUGGACAUGACUUUUUAUUAUCUGGCCUCAAAUCAGGUAGGACUACCCGCUGAACUUAAGCAUAUCAAUAAGCGGAGGA
rnacentral:misc_RNA from 1 species